AAACACUGAGGUCGGAAAGGCUCCCGACGCUCCUCUUAUAGGGAAUCUGAGAUGCAGGAUACGCCGCCCUGCCAGUGUUU
rnacentral:ncRNA from 12 species